rnacentral:misc_RNA from 1 species
AACGCACAUUGCGCCUAUUAGUAUUCUAGUAGGCAUGCCUGUCCGAGCGUCAUUUCAACCCUCAAGCCCUGGCUGCUUGGUGUUGGGGCGCUACGGCGUACGCCGUAGCCCCUGAAAUAUAGUGGCGGACCCUACGAGGACACGAGCGCAGUAGUAAUUUUCUCGCUCAGGGGCUCCCCGGGGGGAUCCUGCCGUAAAACCCCCUCUGUAACCACAAGGUUGACCUCGGAUCAGGUAGGAAUACCCGCUGAACUUAA